AGUGAACGCUGGCGGUAGGCCUAACACAUGCAAGUCGAACGGCAGCACAGUAAGAGCUUGCUCUUACGGGUGGCGAGUGGCGGACGGGUGAGGAAUACAUCGGAAUCUACUUUUUCGUGGGGGAUAACGUAGGGAAACUUACGCUAAUACCACAUACGACCUACGGGUGAAAGCAGGGGAUCUUCGGACCUUGCGCGAUUGAAUGAGCCGAUGUCGGAUUAGCUAGUUGGCGGGGUAAAGGCCCACCAAGGCGACGAUCCGUAGCUGGUCUGAGAGGAUGAUCAGCCACACUGGAACUGAGACACGGUCCAGACUCCUACGGGAGGCAGCAGUGGGGAAUAUUGGACAAUGGGCGCAAGCCUGAUCCAGCCAUACCGCGUGGGUGAAGAAGGCCUUCGGGUUGUAAAGCCCUUUUGUUGGGAAAGAAAAGCAGCAGGUUAAUACCCCGCUGUUCUGACGGUACCCAAAGAAUAAGCACCGGCUAACUUCGCG
rnacentral:rRNA from 1 species